rnacentral:lncRNA from 1 species
UUCAGUUACUUGAAUAAAUGUGAUUUCGGCAAAUGACUUAUAGAACUUAUGAUUUCUUUAAGAUGAAAAUGGUUUUCUACCUCUCGUGCUAGCGUGUUUAAAGAAGAAAAAGGAUUUUCGUGUGGAAAACAGUUUUGAAAAGAUUUUCUCGUGGUUUUCAUAAAUUAGUAUGUCAAAAUAAGUUUCCGAGUAGGAAACAUUUCAACUAAUAUUUGUGGAUUUAUGUUCAAAUCUCUGUAUAUAAACAUGUGGUGAAUGAUGUAUGGAUAUAUAAAUGUAUGGUUAUUUGUAUGUUCAGUGGUAGUGGUUGUAUUCUGUUUGUACUUUUGUACUUGUGCGACGCCGUGCAAAUGCAGGGGAGACUCUGUCCGUAUGAACAGUGGACUCCCUAUAUUUGUGGCGGAUC